rnacentral:snoRNA from 1 species
CUACAUCCACUGAUAGCUCCUCAAACAGUUUCCUAUUGUUCUUUGGUUUACACUAGGACACAAAAGGAAAAAAAUUCCAGGGGGCUGGGCAGUGGCACACGUGAUUAAGCUCACACAGUACCAUGUGGAAGGACCUGU